rnacentral:rRNA from 1 species
CCUACGGGUGGCAGCAGUGGGGAAUAUUGGACAAUGGGGGCAACCCUGAUCCAGCCAUGCCGCGUGUGUGAAGAAGGCCCUCGGGUUGUAAAGCACUUUCAGUGAGGAAGAACGCCUGGUGGUUAAUACCCAUCAGGAAAGACAUCACUCACAGAAGAAGCACCGGCUAACUCCGUGCCAGCAGCCGCGGUAAUACGGAGGGUGCGAGCGUUAAUCGGAAUUACUGGGCGUAAAGCGCGCGUAGGUGGCUUGAUAAGCCGGUUGUGAAAGCCCCGGGCUCAACCUGGGAACGGCAUCCGGAACUGUCAAGCUAGAGUGCAGGAGAGGAAGGUAGAAUUCCCGGUGUAGCGGUGAAAUGCGUAGAGAUCGGGAGGAAUACCAGUGGCGAAGGCGGCCUUCUGGACUGACACUGACACUGAGGUGCGAAAGCGUGGGUAGCAAACAGGAUUAGAUUCCCUUGUAGUC